rnacentral:misc_RNA from 1 species
UUAAGUUCAGCGGGUAGUCCUACCUGAUUUGAGGUCAAAAGUUCAAUAUCGUUGUCCUUUUACAGGACAGUUAGAAGCAGAACAAUACAGAGAGCGUUCACAGUCUAUGGCGUAGAUAAUUAUCACACCGGUGACGGAUCGCAAACGGUUCCACUAAUGCAUUUCAGGAGAGCUGAUCUCGAAAUGAGACCAGCAAAACU